rnacentral:lncRNA from 1 species
CAUUCCAAGUGAGAACCAGAAUUGUGACUCACCAUGAACACCUACCUGGUGGCCACAGUCUGCCUGAGUGUGCUGGCUGUCCUCUCAGAUGGGGUCGAAGUCAAGGUAAGAGUUGUGGGAUCCUCCCAGGAUCGCCGUUCUGCCCUUAUGGCAUCACCUUGAAGGAAAGGGCUGUAGCUCAGUGGCUAGAGAACUUGAUUCCUAGAUGCCUUCGGUCCCAGGUUGAAUCCUUGGCAUCUCCAAAUAGGGUGGAGAUACACCUUUCCCAAAGACCCUGGGCAGCUACUGCCCAUCAGUGUAGGUGACAGCGAGAUAUAAGUAAUAAUGUUCUGACCUGAUACAGCGCAGCUUCUUUUGUUCAUAUUUGGACAGCUUUCCAUUUAGAACUGGAAUCUUUAGUUUUAAGGGAAUGGACUAUAGCAGAGAAUUAGAGCAACGGCUUUGUAAGAGAAAGCUCCCAGGUUCAGCCCUUGGUAUCUCCAGGAAGAAACCCCAGUCUAGAACCCUGGAGAGCUGCUGCCAGUCUGUGUAGACCAGGGUUUCCCAAACUUGGGUCUCCAGCAGUUGUUGGACUACAACUCCCAAGUGUGGGAAACACUGGUAUAGAUUAUACUGAACCAGAUGGGCCAAUAAUCUGACUCAAUACAGGGCAGCUGCUUAUUGAUCACUUUGAGCUUUAACUCUGGGAGGUCUUAGAUCCUGUGCAUGUCCACUAAGAGGUGAACUUCUUUUUUUCUUCUUUUACCUAUGGCACCCGGUAUUCCCAGGGGGUCUCCCAUCCAAGUACUAACCAUGCCUGACCCUGCUUAGCUUCCGAGAUCAGACGAGAUCAGGCGUGUUCAGGGUAGUAUGGCCGUAGAAAGAGGUGAACUUCUAUAGCCUUAGUCGAAGGAGGCAAAACAAAGGAGACCCCUAAAGGAAUAGCUUACAGCAAACAGUGGGUCCAGUUAAUCAUUUACCAAAAGAUAUAAUAAUAAUAAUAACAAUAAUAAUAAAUUUUAUUUAUAUCCCGCCCUCCCCAGCCAAAGCCGGGCUCAGGGCGGCUAACAACAAUAAAACAGUACAAAAGUACAGCAUAAACAACACUCUAAAAUCAUUCAUUAUAAAAUUAGUUAAUUCAAGCCACUGGCAACCAUUGAGCCAGAGCUCCGCGAAGAUUGCCGAGGGAGGGAGUCAGGCUGUGCCCUGGCCAAAGGCCUGGUGAAACAGCUCUGUCUUGCAGGCCCUGCGGAAAGAUGUCAAGUCCCGCAGGGCCCUGGUCUCUUGUGACAGAGCGUUCCACCAGAUCGGAGCCACAGCCGAAAAAGCCCUGGCUCUAGUUGAGGCCAGCCUAACUUCUCUGUGGCCUGGGACCUUCAAGAUGUUUUUAUUUGAAGACUGUAAGUUUCUCUGUGGGGCAUACCAGGAGAGGCGGUCCCAUAGGUACGAGGGUCCUAGGCCAUAUAGGGCUUUAAAGGUUAAAACAAGCACCUUAAACCCGGUCCUGUACUCCACCGGGAGCCAGUGCAGCUGGUAUAGCACCGGGUGAAUGUGAUCUCACAGCGAAGACCCCGUAAGGAGUCUCGCUGCAGCAUUCUGCACCCGCUGGAGUUUCUGGGUCAGUCUCAAGGGCAGCCCCACGUAGAGCGAGUUACAAUAAUCCAGUCUGGAGGUGACCGUCGCGUGGAUCACAGUGGCUAGGUCAGGGCGAGAGAGGUAAGGAGCCAACUGCUUAGCUUGGCGGAGAUGGAAAAAUGCCGCCUUUGUUAUAGCUGCAAUCUGCACCUCCAUGGAAAGGGAGGUGUCGAAGAUUACACCCAAACUCUUAACGGACGGUGCUGGCACUAAUUGCGCCCCCGCAAGAGAUGGGAGUUGCCCCCCCAUCCCAUAUCGUCCUGUCCCAGCCACAGCACCUCUGUCUUCGAAGGAUUUAGCUUCAACUGACUCCCACGUAACCAUCCAGCCACAGCUUCCAAACAUCUGGUCAGUGUGUCUGGGGCCGAGUCAGGAUGGCCAUCCAUCAACAGAUAGAGUUGGGUGUCAUCGGCAUACUGAUGGCAACCCAGCCCAAAACUCCGAACAAGCUGGGCGAGGGGGCACAUAAAGAUGUUGAAAAGCAUCAGGGAGAGUAUCGCACCCUGAGGUACUCCACACACCAAGGAGUGGUGCGAUGUACACAGUCAGACUAUUAGCAGGAAUUAGCAGUGAAUUUACCAAGCAGCCACAUGGCCACUGUAAUUGAGGAUUAUUUUUCCUCUCUCUGCUUUGCUCUGUACUGAAAUCCACCCCUCCCAAAUACUGGGAGAAUCUCUAAAACGAAUUGUGGAUUUGGACCUCGCACAGUUGGAAACACCCUUCCCGUCACACCAUUUACAUGCCUUUCUCCUCCUUGCCCUAUUGAUGGGUAUGUGUGCAUUGAAAAACAACCACACUGCAACAAAGCAAUUUUGAUGUUGCUGUACUGUGUGGUUGCCUGGAGACUCUUUCUCUGCUGUGUUUGAGCUAAUGUGAACACGCAUGCCAGCAUAUUGAUAAAACACCCUAUGAAAAGAAUCUUGAUACAGUUGGAUGCACAUUGGCAGGGCGGGGGACAAUUUUCAGCCAGAGGGCCACACCUCUAUUGCAUAAACUUCUAGGGGCCACAUGAUGGUGGGGAGGGAGUCAGAGGAAAAAAUUGGUGGAGAAAUGAAUGUAGAUUUUACCUUUGGGGCUAGUUUCUACACACGCGCACACACACACGCGCGCGCACACACACACACACACACACACACACACACACACCUCUAUAUUCUAUAGAGGAUGGGGGCAGGUGAGUUCAUGUGGAAACUAGCCUAAUGUACAAACAUAAAAUUUGGCCCCUGGAAAGUUGUCCACAGAGAAAUGUGGACCUUGGGCUGAUUUUUUUUUUUUAAAGGUUCCCUGUUCUACUGUAGCCUUAUAGAGGGUUUGUGCAUUGUUAGUUUUCAGCAGUCUCUAGGCAGGCUAGGCUCCUUGCACAGCACAGGAUUUGAUCAGUCAGCACAGCCUUGGAGGAUGGUCUUCUGAGAACAGGCCUCUAUCUUUAUUGCUUUGCAAAUACAUGCUAGGCAAGGAUAAGCCUUGCCCUUGAAAUUUCCCAGCCAAGGGAUUUGCUUGAAGAGCAGGUUCCUUCACACAAACACACGCAGGUUUCUAAGUUACAGUUUGACCUUUUCAGUGGGUCUCCAUGCAUGAGGAUGUUGCUGGCAAGGCUCUAAUGUGCAGUGGUGGCUGGUGGAGCAGAAGGCAGGGGGGGACAACAGUAGAGGGAGACAGACCCAAUGGCACACAGUGCCCAAUAAUUCUGUUUGUCCCUCUGAGGAAUUCUGUAAGGGCAGAUGACAGCAGAUCCCAAUGUCUUCCCCCUCCUUCUUCCUAAUGUAGACCUUCCCUCACCCCUUCUUCCCUGGGACAGAUGGAGGCACUAUUUGGGGGUCUACCUCAGGUGCCAAAAUGUAUCGGGCCAGCCCUGGCACCAAGACUAGGGAGGAGGGAGAAGGAACCUAUUACAUGCCCUGCUGUGGGCAAGUGAUGGUGAUACUCUGUUCUAAUUUCCCCUGGGCAGGUGGGAGACUACGUAUUCCCCUUGGAAUCAGUGAAGCAGCUGGAGGGCUUCUUCAAGGAGAGAUCCAAGGACAUACGCACACGUAUGGGCGCCACAUUUGGUGCGUGCAGAGACCCGAAAAUGCCCACAGAGUUUGCACCACUCUGUGCAUCCCCCAAAGCAGGAAUACUGCUCCGACAGCUCGGUAUGUGGUGAUGGUCAAUGCAUGCAUGAGAACGUGGGAUGACUCCUCAGCCUUGAACAGCCAGACAUAAGAGGCAUAUUCCAGAUGGGCCUCUGUGCAAGUUUGCUUUGCAGCUAGAAUAUCAGACCAGCCCUGCUCAUCUUGCCCAAUGUCCUGUUCUCACAGUGACCAACCAGAUGCCUGGGGGAAGCCCAGAAGCAGGACCAAUGAGCCCAAGACCCCUCUUCCCAUCUGCAAUUCUCAGAUGCUGGUACUCAGAGGCAUACCACCUCUGGAGUGAAAAACUAGUAGCCAUUGAUAACCUCACCCUCCAUUGAUUUGUCUGAUCCUCUUGUAAAGCUGUCCAAGUUGUUAGACCUCACUGCCUCUUGUGGGAACGAAUCCCCCCAGUUUAACAGUUGACCCCUUGAAGGAAAUGCUUUAUCUAGACCUGUGGUUCCCAACAGGGGAGGGCAAUUUGAUUUUUAAGGGGGGCAAUUUGAGAAUGAGUCAUUAACAAUUAAUGGCCUUUUAGGCUUCCUCCACAUGAACUAAUGUUUGUAAGAAUAAGAAUUAUAUAUCACCAGGGGGGGUGUCAGGAUUUUAGAGAUGCUUGGGGGGGCAUGGCCAAAAAAAAAAGGUUCGGAACCACUGAUCUAGACUGUCCUGAAUCUUCCAACAUUUAGCCUCAUUGGAUGGCCCCAUUGGGUUCUAAAAUUACAAGAGAGGAAGGCAAACUUUGAUCCAGCAGAGAUCUUCUGGGGUCUUAUUCCUCCUCCUCUCCUCGGAUGGCUUUAAAGGGGGGUUUGACAAAUUCAUGGGAGAAGAAGGCUAUAAAUGGCUACUUGCCACAAUGGCUGUGCUCUGUCUCCACUGCAACAUUUUCCAGAGGAGUAACCAGGGCUGUCUUAAGUAUAUGUGGCGCCAGGGUGCAAAGAUCCGCCCGAUGCCCCCCCCUCAGGAUGCCCAGUCCCAAGUACGCAGGAGGGCAGAGCCGGCCAGCUGCCUCAGCGUCUCGCUGGCUCGGCCCAAACCAGAAGAGCCUGGUGUUCCAACCAGAGGGUGGGCUCUUCUCCGGACUCAACUCUCAGGCCCCGGACUCUGGGCCUGGCACCCCUGAGAGCCCGGCACCCAGGUGCCCCACAUCCCUAGUGCCUAUGGAUAAGACGGCCCUGUUUGUAUGUUGCUGCACAAACAAGAGAAUUUUCUUGUGACACCUUGAAGAGUAACAGGCUUAUGCUGGGGACUAGUCUUCAAAAGGUUAUGUGAUAAUAAAUGUGUUAGACUCUAAAGUGCCUCUAGAUUCCCUGUUGCUGUUUUCCUACUUGCUAGGUGUCAGGGACUAGGCAGAGGAGGAAUGGUGGAGACUGCCUCCCCAUCCUGACCCUUCCAGAGAAGAAGACAGUUCAGAAUUGCAACAGGGGUUUGAGGGAGGUCACAGCUCAGAGGCAGAUGAGGGGGAAAGCUGGGAAAUAAUGGGAGAGGAGGAGGAGAAAGAGGACGCAAAGUGGGGGCACAGCUGACAGACACAAUGUCUUUAGAAAGCAUUCCAGUCCCUCCCUCCCAGACCUGACGAGCCUUGAAAUUAGGAGAGCAAAGAGCUCGGAGAAGAAGCGCCCAAGGGCACCUAUAGGGGAGGUGAUGACAAUGACGAAUGAGGAAGGGAGUGGAGAGUCACUCAGGACAACACCAUUAUCAAAGAGGCUGUGUUCCAAAGCCUCUCUCUGUAAAUAUUGAAUAAAAAGCGGAAGGUAAGAAACUUUUCCUUGUCUUUGUACAUCCCUGGCACCAGCUGUGGGAGUUGCUUAGAGCCACCUGACACUAGGGAGUGAGACCUCCCUCUUAAUAGGCUUCCUAACCAGUGCUACCCUCCUUCUCAAUAGGCUUCCUAACCCGGAUCGAGGCCAGAUCUAGGUCAGGGAUGAGGAAACCGAAGCCUUCCAGAUGUUCUUGAACUACACUUCCCAUCAUCUGUGGCCAUUGGCCAUGCUGGCUGGUGAUGAUGGCAGCUGAAGUCCAACAUCUGGAGGCCUAGGGGUUCCCCAUCCCUGGUGUAGGGACAUGGUUGAGAUGAUUAGAGGUGAAGCCCCAGAGGUACACAUGAAUCCCUCCCCUCUCAGUCCCAACUGGAGUACUUGAGUCACCCAAAGAGUCGUCCCAAAGUCACCCAAAGAGUCUUUCUAUUUCUUUGCUUCAGAAAUGAUCAGCGCAGAUGCUGCGACCUGUGAGAUUUGUGCCAACGUUGCCUGCUCUGGAUGCUAAUGAAGAAGACCACCACCAUCUUUGCUGGCUUUCUAAGUGGAUCCUGACAACCGCCCCUCGCUGCUACUGCUGCCUUUUCCUCAUCCAAACCAACAGAGGACACCUCUGUCCACUUGUACAGAUUGGCUGGGCCAGCCUUGGCUUCCUGGACCCCAUCCCUAAAACCUCUAUGAGCACAAUUCAGAAUCCAUGUCAGAGGGGAGAGUGCAAAGGACAGGAAGUUGGGCUGGGGAAGGAAGGAGAAUGGUUGAAAGAAAGGUGAUUGGUCACUGCAAAAAAUAAUAAUAACAGUUCCAUGUAAUUUUUCUUCUGCUUUUUAAAAAUUGAAAACCAGCUGUGUGAGUUUGCAAAUGCGAACAGAAAAAAGAAGGUGGGGAGAAGAAGUUUUUGUUGCCAGACAUGUUUCCUAGUCAAAAUCAAGACUUGGCUGUAUUUCCCCCUGAACAGGCUCCCGAUACAUUUUCCCCUAUAGGGAGAAAAGUAGCUGGGGUGACAUUUUGAGCAAAAGGGGCAAUCUGGCUCCCCUCUCCUCUACUUACUCUUCCCUCAAGAUUACAACCUUCUGCAGCUGAUUCUCAAUGAGAAGUAAUAUUACAUCUCAGGAAUGUUAGAUGCUGCCUAAAGUCAUUUUUUCACCCUUCACACUGCCAUUUUUAGGUCAGUUCUCCACAUUUCAGCACCAGUUUGUCAUUUUAAAAAGCACUCGUGAAAAUUCAUCAGCAUUUUGGUGCAAAUUUCUCUUAAAAUGCACACCUUCCCAUGCGAUUUCCCGUAAUGUGAAUAUUUUUUGCAAAGCAAUUUCCCCUAAUAUAGUGCAUUUCUGCCUUCUGUUGUAGGUGCAUGCUUAUCCAUACUUUGGCCUAGUAUACAUUUUUUUGGCUGGAGAGCUGCAUUGCAAAACCUAGAGGGGUAUGGAUCGUGAACAAUGGUUGUUCAAAGUACAAAUCAGGCACUUUAAGCUUUAAAUGCAAACUGAACUGAACUGAAUCUCUCCCCUAUCGCAAUCCAGCAGCCAGUUUCUGGCCAUCAGCUUUGGGGUGCAUGGCAGUGGAGUAUAGUGGUAGCAGAGAGGAACCAGAAAUCCCAAUUUCUUUCCAGCAUUUUCCUUCCAUCCCCAGCAAACCUUUCCUGUUCCCAUAGUCCCCCUCUUCCUCUCCACAGAGGUGGUUGAUUUGGAUGAUGCCCCUGCUUCUUGAUGGCCACACAUUUUAAAAUGAAAUCAAUAUGCAGACUAAAACACUGUGUAUCCCACAUAACACUUCUAUUUGAGUUUAAAUACCCUUUUGUUCUCUGUUGGUGAUUUGGUCGUUUGGUUUUGAUGGCGAUCUCUUAAGCAAAACUGGCUUCUGACUUGCAAAACUGGCUUCCUUGUGGAUAUCCCUGUUUGGCAUGUCCAAAAUAAAGAUUUCCAAUGCGCUGAUGCUCUCUGCCUUUACUACUUUG